UGUAUUUUGGAGCAAUUUAUAGAGUUUAACUUAGCUAGGUUUAGUUUAAAUUUGUGAUACGACACGGAGCGUGUGGACAGAAUGCACGUGCGUGAAAUAAUAUCAUAUCACGUGUUAUUCAGAUCGCUCCGUUAAUGAAGAUAUAAAUUUCUAUAUUUGUGAUUCUACCAAACCAUCUCAUCGCACACAAUGAACGCAGGACACACAACAACGUGCAAAAUAACCGCUCUCGGACAGAGUCUUAAUUACUUGCAAAAUUUUCUACUAAUAUGUCAAUCAGCUAAAUAUUACUAUAUAAAUAAAACUCUUUAAUUUUCUUAAAAAACAAAUUCAUCUUCUUCAAGUCGCAAGAUACUUUUUUUUUUCUCAAAAAUUAUUAAAAUACUUCUAAGCUUUUUUUUUU
rnacentral:lncRNA from 1 species